AUUUAAAUAGUUUAAUAAAAAAUAUUGAUUUGUGGAGUCAAGGUUAUACUUUAGUAUUUUAAAUA
rnacentral:tRNA from 1 species